rnacentral:rRNA from 1 species
CCCUACGGGUUGUGAACUGCUUUUAUACGGGAAUAAACCUUGAUUCGUGAAUCAAGCUGAAUGUACUGUAAGAAUAAGGAUCGGCUAACUCCGUG